GCACACACCACUUCACUCUCCCACUCCGAGGCUCAGGGAGCAAGUGCCUGGGGGGGGGGGGAGAGAUAUAUAUUUUUUCCCUUUCCAUGGUCUUUUGCACCCUUCUCUCUCUCCCAAGAAGGGAAGACUUGUUUAAACUAUUUUAGACGCAAUCAAGCAAGAAUCACCAUGUGGAAUUGAGCGCCAGUUUUAAAUGUGCUGAGGAGAGGAAUGAUCUGAAUUUUUUUUUUUUUUUUGUUUGAGACGCCAAAAGGAGCCUGUUUGUGUGCUGCGGCCGCACUGUGACUCUGGAUCUUGUCUUCUGACCAGCGCUUCGAUUCCUGCCUAGCUGGAUUUGGGUGGCAUUCACUGCCUGGCGCGGGGAGAGCAAAUGAGGCUGCAAAGAAGCAUAAAAUGAAUAGACAGUCCAAGCAACCAAAGACCGGGGGCAGCAGCAGGCCAACAAGACGGCAUCUUCUCCCCAGCCUAGAAGCCCUGUGAAAUCGAGGAUCUUCCCCCUAAAACACACAUACACAAGAUAUGUGCAAUCAAGCUGCCACCGCUUGGUAAAAAGCUCACGGUGCCUAACCCAAAAGGAUCAGGAGCAGAUCCUUGAAUCAGCUGUCACUUCUAUAGAAUGGGAUUUUUUUUUUCCUUCCUCCUUAACCAGCGCUGGAAAUUGCCAUUGGCUUUAUACAUCUCUAUAGAGAGAGGCUAAGAGUCUUGCGUGAGAAGGAAGCAAUUUACAAUGCAAAUAGAGGCCUGUGAAGGGACGGACGCUGCUGCUCGGGCGGAACAGCUUGCUGCACCUUAAUAGCUGGUUUUAUUUUCUGAUAUUAAUAGAUGAAUUGUUGGCUAACGCUGCCGGAGAUUACUUGCUGAAAGGAAAAAAAAGUUCGGAAUAAACUCUGAAGGCAACAGAUCUCGUUUGGAUGUUUUAGCUGCAUACACACAAACAGAAACCAGGUCGUAUUUGCAUAAAAGGAGGAAUCUUUUAAGCGCGGCAAGUAUCCUGGAGGACGACUACUCGGUACUGCCAGAAAAGAUCGGGAUGUGGAGUCUGGCCGGAGGAAGACAGAGGCCUGUGAGGGAAGCGAGUUGUUAUCUUUGGUUAUCUAGCUGUAUGAGUGUAUUGGUCUUCAUAAAGCUAGAUAACCGAAAGUAAAAACUCCUUCAAGAUCGCCGGGCAGCGUGUGGGAAUGGUCGACUACAGCCAAGAGACAGUAAAAACAAAGGUCAGGAAUACUUAUUGAAUCUAACUUUUUGUUUUGUUUUUUCCUUAUGUCUAAAGGGGGGUGAAAGGAAAUUAAGUGCACACAUCCUGAAAUAUAAGGGUGCCAGAUAUCUGGAGAGGGGUUGUUACAGCUGGAAAGGAGAAUUGUAUAGUGCUAAUGAGUGAAGAUGCUUGUGCAGUUCUCUUUUAAGUAAAGUUUAUAUCUUGAUGGAUUUUUUUUUCCUUAGAAAGCUGUCUGGUACCUAGUUUAGAAGUGAUUCCAUAAUAGGUAGACUUGGGCAGUUCCCUUCUGAGGCCUCUCCCUCAAAAUUGGAAGAUUGUGCUUAGAAACUACUUUGCAUGUACUUGGGCUAUAUGUCAAAUUCUGUGAAAUUAGAUUUCUAAAAAAGUUUAUACUGGAAGGUUAAUAAUUCAUAUCUACUGAGGACUUAGAGCUAGCAGGGAAAAUGAAAAAAAAGCAAAGGCUGAUUUUUAUUCUUCUAUUCAAAAUGCAAGGACAGAUGCUUCUCUGUUCCAAGAGGGUUUCCUUGAGGAAGCUACUGAAGCAGAAAGACAUGAUGGAGACGAGAUCGCCUCCCCUCUUGUCAAAGUGUUAAAAAAAUGUUCUGUCUUACUCUGCGCCUAGCAUUGGAAAUGAAAGUGACAUUUACGCCACAACCCACGUGUGCGCCUCCUCUCUUUUUGUUUAAGGAUGAUCAGGUCUAUCCAGGAAACAGCUCUGGCAUCCCAAACUGAAAUAAUUAGGACGUAUAUAGACCUGACAAAAAUGGAAAGGGGGUGGGGAAUCUGAGGGUCUGUCUUGCCUAAUUGAUUCCGCUAAACGGAAUGCGAGAGAUGUGAACGGCGGGACGCUCCGAUUCCCACGCUCGGGGGCAAGUGGUAAAGCGGGGCCGGCAGCCUAUGACAGACAGCCCUGUCGGGGGGUGGGGGUAUGAAAAAAACAUCAAGUGCACACACCAUACUCAUCUCCAUCGCUUAAGAAAGUAAAGGCAUUUCCCACCCACAGCCAUCUGCAGCUUCCCAAAUGGCAGCACCAACUGGUCUGUGGCUGCUGCUUGCUGUCUGCUUCUGUUAAUUUUUUAGCCCAUGUUUAAUUUGGCUAUAAUUAAGUUUGGCUUUCUUCUUGGGUUGAGAUCGUCAAUAUUCAAGGAAAGCUAGUAGAAAGCAAUUGCAAGAAAGUCCCAAGACUGCUUGCUCCUCAUGUCAAAUCCUCAAUCUGUGCUUAUGGCCUGGGACACUCUUUUGGCUUGUUUUGAGUGGGUUAUGUUUAAAAUACCUAUCUCUAUAUGACAGUCAUUAUUAUGACUUCCUCAGGUUGUUUAUUUCUUACCAUGAUGCAUCUAGGAGCUUGGCCUAAUUAUUCUGGGUAGAUGCACACUGGAAGUAAAACUGUAAAGUUGUUGCCUUACAAAAUUGAUUACAAUCACAACAUGAUAAAGGUUGUUGGGAGAAAUCUCCAUUAGAUGGUUCUCUAAAGAGCCAUUUUUUUAAAGUCUAAAAAUAAUUAUGCCUAGUAGAAACUUGGGGGCUUUGAAGGUCCCCAUUGUAAUCUUUCCCUGAAAGUCCUUAGGUUUUUCCACAAGUCACUAAACAAACAUUUGUAUAGACAUUUACACAUAAAUACAGCCAUUUCAAUAAGAAAAUGUCCAAAAUGGCCUGUAAUCUUCCACAUGGCCUAGAUUAUUGACAAUCCCAAAUACACAAGUUUAUCUUCAAAAGCAGUGCAUUUUCUUUCAUAGCUUCAACUCCUUAUAACACUUCGGACUGGAGAAGUCUGCAAAACCACUGUUAGUUUCAGUUAGAAACUCUGAAAGACUUUAUUAAGGUAAAUUCUCAAUUUGGCUGAUGAACACGUGCCAAAGUUUUACUACUGUAGUGACCAUUGGGAAGACCCUUGUUUAUUUACAUUUGAAGCACUGUUUGUGCAAACAACCUUUCAUUGUUAAGUGCCUGUAUUCCUUUCAUUUACUUCAUGUCCAGGGGUGCUAUUUACCUAGAACCAUUGUCUACUACAAUUAACAUUUACAUUACAAAGUGUGUGGUUUUCUUUCUCAAGGAGGUUCAAUUAAGGCAAUAAGAUGUUUGCUGGGGAAACCUAUUGUUUACUGAAAGCACUCAAUGAAGUCAAAUUACUGAAGCUUUUGCCUACAUCUUGGUCUUUUAUGUAAAUAUGUUAAAUAUAACAUCUAAGGAAAAUAAACUAUUAUAAUUAUGUGUUUGCCAUUGUCAUAUCAAACUUGCUUUGUAUCAUACUAAUGUUACAUAACUUACUGAUCAAUAAAAAUACAUUUCAAUGUUA